rnacentral:rRNA from 1 species
GAUGAACGCUGGCGGCGUGCCUAAUACAUGCAAGUCGAGCGAACAGACGCUGAUCUUGCUCCUCUGACGUUAGCGGCGGACGGGUGUGUAACACGUGUAUAACCUACCUAUAAUACUGGUAUAACUUCGGGAAACCGGAUCUAAUCCCGUAUAAUAUAUUGAACCGCAUGGUUCAAUGGUGAAAUACGGUUUUUCUGUCUCUUAUAGAUGCAUCCGCGCCGCUUUAGCUAGUUGUUAAGGUAACGGCUUUCCAAGGCAACGAGGCGUAGACGACCUGAGGGAGUGGUCGGCCACACGAGAGGUGAGACACGGUCCAGGCGACUACGAGAGGCAGCAGUAGGGAACGUGACGCAACGGGCGAAAGCAUGACGGAGCAACGGGGCGCGAGAGACAACGGUCCUCGGAGCGUAAAGACGUGUUAUUGGGGAAGAACAAAUGUGUCAGGAGAUAAGCAGGGAUUGACGGUAACUAAUAAGAAAGCAACGGCUAACUACGUG